rnacentral:rRNA from 1 species
UACGUAGGGUGCGAGCGUUGUCCGGAAUUAUUGGGCGUAAAGGGCUCGUAGGCGGUUUGUUGCGUCGGGAGUGAAAACAUCCAGCUUAACUGGGUGCUUGCUUUCGAUACGGGCAGACUUGAGGUAUGCAGGGGAGAAUGGAAUUCCUGGUGUAGCGGUGAAAUGCGCAGAUAUCAGGAGGAACACCGGUGGCGAAGGCGGUUCUCUGGGCAUUACCUGACGCUGAGGAGCGAAAGCAUGGGUAGCAAACAGG